rnacentral:rRNA from 1 species
AAUAGAUACCCGGGUAGUCCACGCCGUAAACGAUGAGUGCUAAGUGUUAGAGGGUUUCCGCCCUUUAGUGCUGCAGCAAACGCAUUAAGCACUCCGCCUGGGGAGUACGGUCGCAAGACUGAAACUCAAAGGAAUUGACGGGGGCCCGCACAAGCGGUGGAGCAUGUGGUUUAAUUCGAAGCAACGCGAAGAACCUUACCAGGUCUUGACAUCCCGUGACAACUCUAGAGAUAGGGCUUUCCCCUUCGGGGGACACGGUGACAGGUGGUGCAUGGUUGUCGUCAGCUCGUGUCGUGAGAUGUUGGGUUAAGUCCCGCAACGAGCGCAACCCUUGAUCUUAGUUGCCAGCAUUCAGUUGGGCACUCUAAGGUGACUGCCGGUGACAAACCGGAGGAAGGUGGGGAUGACGUCAAAUCAUCAUGCCCCUUAUGACCUGGGCUACACACGUGCUACAAUGGAUGGUACAAAGGGCAGCGAAACCGCGAGGUUAAGCCAAUCCCAUAAAACCAUUCUCAGUUCGGAUUGCAGGCUGCAACUCG